UACGUAGGGGGCAAGCGUUGUCCGGAUUUAUUGGGCGUAAAGAGCGUGUAGGCGGCCAAGCAGGUCCGUUGUGAAAACUGGAGGCUUAACCUCCAGACGUCGACGGAAACCGCGUGGCUAGAGUCCGGAAGAGGAGAGUGGAAUUCCUGGUGUAGCGGUGAAAUGCGCAGAUAUCAGGAAGAACACCAAUAGCGAAGGCAGCUCUCUGGGACGGUACUGACGCUGAGACGCGAAAGCGUGGGGAGCGAACAGG
rnacentral:rRNA from 1 species